rnacentral:rRNA from 1 species
UACAUAGGGGGCAAGCGUUGUCCGGAAUGACUGGGCGUAAAGGGUGAGUAGGCGGUUUAGCAAGUCGGAAGUGUAAUACCUGAGCUUAACUUGGGUGCUGCUUCCGAAACUACUGAACUUGAGUAUCGGAGAGGAAAAUGGAAUUCCUAGUGUAGCGGUGGAAUGCGUAGAUAUUAGGAGGAACACCAGAGGCGAAAGCGAUUUUCUGGACGAUAACUGACGCUGAGGCACGAAAGCGUGGGGAGCAAACAGG